CACGUUUCACCAAAAGCAAUUUCAAUGUCAUUGUCUUAAUUAACAGUUAAUUUCACUGCUGUUAAUGUUUACUGUUUCAAUCAGCAUCUUGUUCUAGAUUGUUAUCAUUGUUAGUUGAUCUGUAAUUGUUCGCCAUUGUUAUUUGAAAAAGAUAUCAAAAUGUUUUCUUUCUAGUUAAUUUAUUUCUAUUCAAGUGUUCACUGCAAGAUUCUUAAUCAAUCAAAUUUUCAUUGUGCCAAGAUUGAAACCAUUAAAUUCAUCAUUUAAUACACCUUGAACUAUGAAAUUGAUGGUGUUUGGUUGAAGGUUAAAUUGUUUAUUACAACCUUUUCAACUAAUAAUGUGAAAUGUCAAAUCUCAUCAAUUUGUUCCAUCUUAUUCAAUUUUACAUUGGCGCUGUUAAUUUAUUUAAAUUGUUUUGUGAAACCAUUUUACACCCUUGCUGUGAAACUGAUUUAUUGGCUUUAUGUACUAGAAUUCAUCAUAUUUCAGUGAUUAAAAAAAAGAGAAUGCAACUUGCUAAGGAAAAAGCCAUGCCAGACGUAACAAGGUUAAAAUGAUGAAGCUGUUUUUACAUUUUUCUUGAAAACAAAAUAUCAUAAGAUAUUUUUUACCUGAUGCUAGCUGUAAACUUUUUCUUUGGAAAAUUCAUCUUGAAGUGUUUUAUCUUCAUUUCACUGGUAACUUCAACAAAAUAAAUGGAAGAAGAACGAAGGAAAUUUUUCUGAUAAGUCUCUGUUUGCCUUUCUAAGCUGUGACCUGCAAAUUUCUCAACUUUCGCCUCAAUGCAAGUCAAUUCAAGCAUCAACCAUGAACUAUUUCUUGGAGUAGCAACAUAUUUCAUUGGAUAUAAACAAAAAGAGGAAAGUUGGUGAUGGCUCAAGUAAACAAAGAUUUAGCUGAGCUAAAUGGAUGAACCUACAAUGUAUCAUAAAUAGAGUUUUAGGUCAAUCGAGGUAAACGAAUAAUUGGCCAAUCAAUAGCCAUUUCAAAGUAUUGCUGUAAUAUUCUGAGCUCAAAUGCCGGUUACAAUAGAAUCAAGGAAUCAAUAGAUAUGUUGAAUAGAAGUUACAAAACCUUGGUGAUUCUUUUGGUGAUAGCAGUAAACAUCGUUCUCCAUUAGAUGAUGAAAGAAGGAUGAAUCAAAUCAGGAGAAGGAUAGGAUUUAUAUUGAAAUAACAAAAUACUUGAAUGGAUAUCUUGCACAUGCGAUUGGAAAAAGAAAGAAGUGGAAAUGAUUAUCAAGAAAGAGAAGGAACAGAUUACCAAACUAUAUGGUCCAGUGAAAAUAUUUGAACGUUGGGUUGAGAUUUUUUUUCAAUUUUAAAAGUAAAUCAACAAAAUGGAUGAGGCGGCUCAAGGAAGAGAAAGGUAGGCAGAGAAAACAAAAUAAGCUGAAAACAGACCAAAGAUUCCUCUCAUUUAACUCAUUUAACUUGGUCUCACACCUUAGAUGAAAGAUGAUGAUAAACACUUACAAUAGGAGAUAAAUAGCUUCAGUGGUGUCAAUAUCUCACGAGUCACAAGUUACCUCUCAAUUUAAGUUGAUUACAAUUGAAAAAGCUAUCAAUCAAACUCACAAUCAACCAGUUCCAGUAUAACAAAAAACAAUUUGAUAGUUAAACUUGAAUGGGUCAUUUGUGUGCAUAAACAUUUUUGAACAAACACUUAAGGGUCAAAAGCUCUUCAUCUUUACAUUAAUACACAAACACACACACACACACUCAAUACACAAAACAAAAAUCAAAAUUAGUCUCUACUACCAGUAAUAAUAUAAUUAGGAUCACUAAUAAUAUGAUUAUGAUGAACAACACAAAACAGAGUAAUAAUGAAACCAUAAUAGGCUGAUAUUAACCAAGCACAUUCAAACCUUUCAACAAAACGGUUCAAACAUGUAAACUGAUAUGAAAUGUUUUUAAUAAUAAUAAUUAUUAUUAUUAUAUUUAUAUCAAUAUUUACAAUAUUACCAUUAAAUGAUUGAACAAUAAUGCAUUUAUGCACACACAAGACUGAUGGCCAUUUCAUUGUUUCACUUAAUUUCCUUAUUCUGUCCAUUUCAAUAUGCCAAUCCUGUUGUUACCCAAAACCAAAAAAGCUAAAUGUGUGUCACCAUUUUUACCAUCAAACAAUCAUUUAACAAAAGUACAUUUGUCAACAUUUUUCACCAACAAUUACAAACAAUAAUAGCUAAAUGUUACAAGUCACUGCCAAGUUAACCAUUGAAUUCAGAAUUGUCCAGAUGAUGAACAAGUAACAAGCAACUUGCCAACCUGAAACCAGUUUAAUUCAUUAGAAACAUUGUUUCUCAAUGUUGCCAAAGUGAUUAAAUUUACAAUUCAACCUUUUCUCUCCCCUUUUGGCCCUCCUUAUCCUUCCCAUGAACAAAAAAAACUCUGAUCAUUUGUAAGAGUUUCCAGUUCUCAGAGUUUAACCACGCGAGUUAAACCAUGCCUGGGUUAACAGAUGAAACAAGAAAAUGAAACAUUCAAAUAUCAACAUUGAUUGUUAACAUUGUUAACUUUUUUUUCAUUUUAAACAUUUUCUCUUCAACUUUUCAUUCUAAUGAUGACUUAACCUGGUGUUGAUUGGUUUACAUUAAUAACAUUCAAAACUAUAGUUAAUUCAAUUGGAGAAAAGACUUUAUCCUUUGCCAACAUUAACCAUUAAGGGGCGAUUCAAGUUUUAAUUUUUACCUUAUUUCGCAUCCAAAGUGAACAAUCUAAUUGCGUGUCAACUAAUGGUUAAACCUCAUUGGCAACAAUCAAGGAAUCAAAGGUAGAAACAGUAAUAACACAGACAGCAAAUGAUUAAAUUAAAUCAAGAAAAGAAAAGCAAAAACCCAAAAAGAGAUUCAGGAUAACCCAAGGAUAUGUAUUAAUAUACAACAAUUGUACCAAUUUUUUCUUCUCCUGUUAAUUAGUUUUCAACUUUAAUUAUCUUCAAUCAUCAUGAUCAUCUUCAUAACCAUCAUUUUCCCAAUCGAUUCAAUUGCACCGAUUUCCAACCACUAAUGAAGUUCAAUCUAAAAGUGUCAUUAAUUAUUCAAUUGAUUUAAAAAUCACUUCUAAAACCAAAAUAUUUUCAGGUUAACCUUUUCUGGUUUCAAUAAUUACAACAAAAGCUGAACCCAAUCACAAUAAUGGUCAGUUGACAUUUACAUGAUUAACUGAAUUGAAGUGUUUCAAUUUCUCUGUUAAUUUCGAUUGAAAUAUUUCUCUUUGAUUGAUCACCUUCAAUCAGAUUGAUCAUAAUUACCAUUACAUUAUCAUUACCUUGAUCAAUUUUCAGCUUUUUUUCUGAUUAACAGAAGAAACCAGAAAAAAAAGUGAAAACUAAAGCAAAGAAAUAUCAUUAUGGUUCUGAUAAUUAUUAUUAUUGACGUUUUUUUAGCCUAAUGAUAAUUGCAUUAAUAAUAAUUAUAAUGGAUAAUGAUGAUAAUGGUAAUAAAAAUAAUUAACUGGAAACAAGUUAAUCAAGGCUUGAAUCAAAUGGAAAUGUCAAUAUUAAUGUUUACAGACAAAACAAAGGGAAAGAUGAAAGGUUAACAAUUGUAAAUAUUUGACCGAAAAAAAUGUGAUUCCAAUUAUUUGAUUGCAAUUAUAUGAUAAGAUUGUGAUUCAUGGAAGAAGAAGAAGAAAAGAAAUUUUCUCUCGAAUAUCUUUUCGAAUCAUUUCUGAUUGUUUCCUUUAUCCCUUCAGAUUAGAUUGACUUGUCAUCGUCUUCAUUGAAACUCAUCUUUCACCAUUUCAUUUCUAUUCUGUUAACCAACUUCUUCUUCUUCUUCCAGAUUUGUCAGCCAACUUGUUCCAAUUUUUACCAGUUUAACCCAAAAUUGUUUCCUUUUUUUCUAUUUGAUUUUUAUCAUUAUCCAAGUAACAAUAUUUCAUUGAAACAAAGAGACUCACAAAUAACAAGAUGAAACAGAAGAGGAAAAAAAUAAGCUCAUCUUUUGCCUUACAAUCAAAAUAAUCAAUCCUUAUUGUUCGAAGAGUAAAUUCAGUUCGUGACUUGAUUUUCCUAUCAUCUGUGAUUCUUAUAGGAAAAGAAGAUCAUCUUUAUCCUCAUUUUUUAUCUUCCUGAAGAAGAGCAAAAUUUUCUCAUUUCCAUCCUUUUCCAUCUCUCUUCCACUUUACAUUCAUUUUACAUUCAACAAUAUUACACUUAAAUUGCAAUUUCAUAUUCAAUCAAAAUCACAAUCGAAAAAAUGAGAAAAAGAAAUUGAAAUUCGAAGGUAAAAUUUCAACCUUUUUUCGUUAAUUAACCAAUCAUUUGAGAAAUGUUGAUCUUUUGAAUUAACUUUCAUUGUUUCUCAUCAAGGAUAGUCUCAUUUCAUGUUAAACUUUUGAUUGAUUGAGAAAUGAAUGAAAUCAUUGAUUAUUGAAAAUCAUUGAAAUUGUUUUCAU